GACGAACGCUGGCGGCGUGCCUAAUACAUGCAAGUCGAGCGAAGUUUUUCUGGUGCUUGCACUAGAAAAACUUAGCGGCGAACGGGUGAGUAACACGUAAAGAACCUGCCUUAUAGACUGGGACAACUAUUGGAAACGAUAGCUAAUACCGGAUAACAGCAUUAACUGCAUGGUUGAUGUUUAAAAGUUGGUUAUGCUAACACUAUGAGAUGGCUUUGCGGUGCAUUAGCUAGUUGGUGGGGUAAAGGCCCACCAAGGCGACGAUGCAUAGCCGACCUGAGAGGGUGAUCGGCCACACUGGGACUGAGACACGGCCCAGACUCCUACGGGAGGCAGCAGUAGGGAAUCUUCCGCAAUGGGCGAAAGCCUGACGGAGCAGCGCCGCGUGAGUGAAGAAGGAUUUCGGUUCGUAAAGCUCUGUUGUUAGGGAAGAAUGAUUGUGUAGUAACUAUACACAGUAGAGACGGUACCUAACCAGAAAGCCACGGCUAACUACGUGCCAGCAGCCGCGGUAAUACGUAGGUGGCAAGCGUUGUCCGGAAUUAUUGGGCGUAAAGCGCGCGCAGGUGGUUUAAUAAGUCUGAUGUGAAAGCCCACGGCUCAACCGUGGAGGGUCAUUGGAAACUGUUAAACUUGAGUGCAGGAGAGAAAAGUGGAAUUCCUAGUGUAGCGGUGAAAUGCGUAGAGAUUAGGAGGAACACCAGUGGCGAAGGCGGUUCUCUGGGCCUUUCCUGACGCUGAGGAGCGAAAGCGUGGGGAGCGAACAGGCUUAGAUACCCUGGUAGUCCACGCUGUAAACGGUGGGUACUAGGUGUGGGGUCCAUUCCACGGGUUCCGUGCCGUAGCUAACGCUUUAAGUACCCCGCCUGGGGAGUACGGCCGCAAGGCUAAAACUCAAAGGAAUUGACGGGGCCCCGCACAAGCGGCGGAGCAUGCGGAUUAAUUCGAUGCAACGCGUAGAACCUUACCUGGGUUUGACAUGGAUCGGGAGUGCUCAGAGAUGGGUGUGCCUCUUUUGGGGUCGGUUCACAGGUGGUGCAUGGCUGUCGUCAGCUCGUGUCGUGAGAUGUUGGGUUAAGUCCCGCAACGAGCGCAACCCUUGUUCACUGUUGCCAGCACGUUAUGGUGGGGACUCAGUGGAGACCGCCGGGGUCAACUCGGAGGAAGGUGGGGAUGACGUCAAGUCAUCAUGCCCCUUAUGUCCAGGGCUUCACGCAUGCUACAAUGGCUGGUACAGAGAGUGGCGAGCCUGUGAGGGUGAGCGAAUCUCGGAAAGCCGGUCUCAGUUCGGAUUGGGGUCUGCAACUCGACCUCAUGAAGUCGGAGUCGCUAGUAAUCGCAGAUCAGCAACGCUGCGGUGAAUACGUUCCCGGGGCU
rnacentral:rRNA from 1 species